CCCUUAGAUGUUCUGGGCCGCACACGCGCUACACUGAAGGAGGCAGCGUGUACUCCUGGAUCGAAAGAUUUGGGUAACCCGCGAAUCUCCUUCGUGCUAGGGAUUGAGGUUUGCAAUUAUCCUUCAUGAACGAGGAAUUCCCAGUAAGUGCAAGUCAUAAGCUUGCGCUGACUACAUCCCUGCCCUUUGUACACACCGCCCGUCGCUACUACCGAUUGAAUGAUUUAGUGAGGACUUCGGACUGGGACCGAUGCGGCUUUCGGGCUGCGUCGGUAUUCUGGAAAGAUGUCCAAACUGUAUCAUUUAGAGGAAGUAAAANUCGUAACA
rnacentral:rRNA from 1 species